rnacentral:rRNA from 1 species
CCGCCCAAGAGUCUGUGUCGACGGCGUUGUUUGGCACCUCGUUAUCGGCUCAUCUCAUCCUGGGGCUGAAUUAGGUCCCAAGGGUAUGGCAGUUCGCCAUUUAAGUUGGUACGCGAGCUGGGUUUAGAACGUCGUGAGACAGUUCGGUCCCUAUCUGCCGUGGGCGCUGGAGAACUGAGGGGGGCUGCUCCUAGUACGAGAGGACCGGAGUGGACGCAUCACUGGUGUUCGGGUUGUCAUGCCAAUGGCACUGCCCGGUAGCUAAAUGCGGAAGAGAUAAGUGCUGAAAGCAUCUAAGCACGAAACUUGCCCCGAGAUGAGUUCUCCCUGACUCCUUGAGAGUCCUGAAGGAACGUUGAAGACGACGACGUUGAUAGGCCGGGUGUGUAAGCGCAGCGAUGCGUUGAGCUAACCGGUACUAAUGAACCGUGAGGCUUAACCUUACAACGCCGAAGCUGUU